GCCAACUUAUAUCUUAUAUUCAUUAUUUUUUAAGGAGUCUGAGGUUCCAAAUGAGAUUCGAGAUGCUUUACUACAAAAGAAAUACAUGUUCAAGAUUAAGGUCCCUCUUGGUGAAGGGUGGAGAUAUAAUAAAGCCUAUAGUGUCUCAACUCUAGCAACAGACCCUAAUGUUGUUGCUACAUACUCUGCUAAGUGCUCGGACAGCCAUCAAUCUAAUUCAGUUUCCAUGCUUGAGAGUUCAAAUGAGGUUAUGGAUACAAUUGGAGAACAAACACCUGUUGCUGCUCAGUCAAGGCUUGGAGAUGAGAGUGAAUGGAUUGAUGACGGAGUAACUAAAAGAAGUCUAAUGGAUGAAUUUUCUUCCACUAAACCAGCAAAGAAAGCUAAAAUUGAAAUCAAGCAAGAGAAAGACUAGAUGUUGCAGCAAUUAGUCUCUCUUUUUUUUGUCUAAGGCUGUCACUCUUUGAUAUUCGGGCAAAUAUCCUAAAUACAGCCUG
rnacentral:lncRNA from 1 species